GACGAACGCUGGCGGCGUGCUUAACACAUGCAAGUCGAACGGAAAGGCCCUGCUUUUGUGCGGUGCUCGGGUGGCGAACGGGUGAGUAACACGUGAGUAACCUGCCCUUGACUUUGGGAUAACUUCAGGAAACUGGGGCUACUACCGGAUAGGAGCUCCUGCUGGGUGGUGGGGGUUGGAAAGUUUCGGCGGUUGGGGAUGGACUCGCGGCUUAUCAGCUUGCUGGUGGGGUAGUGGCUUACCAAGGCUUUGACGGGUAGCCGGCCUGAGAGGGUGACCGGCCACAUUGGGACUGAGAGACGGACCAGACUCCUACGGGAGGCAGCAGUGGGGAAUAUUGCACAAUGGGCGGAAGUCUGAGGCAGCAACGCCGGGGGCGGGAUGACGGCCUUCGGGUUGUAAACCGCUUUCGCCUGUGACGAAGCGUGAGUGACGGUAAUGGGUAAAGAAGCACCGGCUAACUACGUG
rnacentral:rRNA from 1 species